rnacentral:lncRNA from 1 species
GUAGUGGAAGGACUUGUCGCACUCGAGGCACUGGUAGAGGGUGGGGCCCUGGUGGGAGGCCAGGUGGCGCUUGAGCUGGGUCAGGGUGGAGAAGUCCAGGCCGCACUCGACGCAGACGUGGCAGCGGCCGCUCUCGUGCUUCACUUCGUGGGCCUUGAGCUCGCUGGGGUAGGCGAAGCCGCGGCCGCAGAAGUGGCAGCUGUACGGCUUGACCUCGGAGUGCAGCAGCAUGUGGCGCUUGAGGUGGCUGGUCUGCGUGAAGGCCUUCUGGCACACCUGGCACUUGUGGGGCCGGGUGCCCUGGUGCGUCAGCAGGUGCGCUGCAGGUGGCUGGGCUGCUUGAAGAGCUUGCUGCAGUGCGGGCACGAGUGCGGCUUGAUGCCGUUGUGCCCCAGGAGAUGCCUUCCUACAUUCAUGCAGAGGGAAGAUAAAGGGAAGAGGCAGACGUGUAAUUCGACGGUGUCAGAAGGGCCUGGGUUGAAUAAUGCCACGUGUGAACUCAGACAAGGCACUUAACCUCUCUGAGCUUCAGUUUCCCCGAAAAUGGGCCUAACGCCCCCUUCGUACAGUUGUGAAGACUGUGAAAACUGGAGGCCGUCAGUAAAACACCCAGCGCGGGGCCUGACAAUUAAUUACGCACUUUCUUUUCUCUUAAGUAACAGAAGGUCACAGCUGUGGCUCCUGAAUGCCUUCUAGGACAAUCUGCAGAGACACCCUGGGAGGACGGUGCUCCCAGAUCCUCUGCACAGCUAGCUAAAUUCUGGGAAAUUUGGGACUCACAACUGAAGUAAUUUGUUACUUCAAGAACAAGUUGUGUUCUGCAACUCACUUCAAAACGGCUCAGAAAAAACCAAACACACAUACACAUGUACGUAUGAGGCAAAUAAGGCAAAUGUUAGUAUCUGUUCUCUCUAGUCCUGGGUGUGUAAGUAUUUCCUGUACUAUUCUUUCAACUUUUCUAUAGAUUUGCAAUAUUUCAUGAUAAAACCUUGAUGAAAACUCCUGCUUUAAAUUUAAACGGUAAAAAACCGUAUAAUACUUUAAGAAACCUUGCACUGCAUUAAUUUAUCUAGAGAACUGACCUGGUCCCUGACCUCACAGAGCUUACUUACCACACAGCAUUUCUUCGGGCAGCGUAUUUUCUUGCUAAUUUUAUAGGCUGUUCAGUUUUCUCUUCAAGCUUAAAUCUCGAUUUUUCUUUUUUUUAAACAAACAUAUGCAUGAUCUUAGAAUAGAAUUUUUAACCCUUUAGGUAUCUCAUGAUAAAAUCUUUUCCCCUGGGCUGUCGAUUGUUUUGUAGAAUUCACAUAGUACUUACAAUUACUUUUAAGUUUAUUUAUUUAUUUUGAAAGAGAGCAAAGGAGGGGCAGAGAGAGAGAGAGAGAGAGAGAGAGAGAGAGAAUCCCAAGUAGGCUCUGCUCUUGCAGCACAGAGCCCAACUUGGGGCUCAAUCCCACAAACCACGAGAUCAUGACCUGAGCUGAAAUCAAGAGUCCCAUGCUCAACCACCUGAGCCACCCAGGCCCCUCCCCGCAUUUGUUUAAUGUAGUCAAAUCUGUCGGUUUUUUGAUGACUUUUUUAUUUCUAAACUUUGGAAAUCAACCUCUAGCCCAAGACUUGGUGCAGGGUAAACUGUACAUACGAAACGUUUACUUCUUUAUUACGUAUUUCUGUUUCAGUAUUAUUGUAUUGACUAGGAUUUUAAAAGCGAGGUUCAACAGUGAAUAUGAUGGCGGGCCUCCUUAGCUUGUUACUAGUUUCAACAGGGAUGCCUCUAGUGUUUCACGGUUAGUAACGACAUUGGCCAUCAGUUUGAAUUACAUCUUUUUUUUUUUAAUGCUUAUCUAUUUGUUUUUUCAUGUUUAUUUAUUUUUGAGAGAGAGAGAGAGAGAGAGAGAGAGACAGACAGACAGAGGGUGAGCAGGGGAGGGCAGAGAGAGAGGGAGACACAGAAUCUAAAGCAGGCUCCAGGCUCUGAGCUGUCAGCACAGAGACCGACUUGGGGCUCGAACUCAUGAAUUGUGAGAUCAUGGUGAGCCAAAGUUACACGCUUAACGGACUGAACCACCCAGGCGCUCCAAUGUUUGUUUAUUUUUGAGACAGAGAGAGUGUGAGAGGGGGAGGGGCAGAGAGAAAGGGGGAACAGAGGAUCCAAAGUGGGCUCUGUGCUGACAGCAGUGAGCCCAAUGCGGGGCUCGAAGUCGGGACCCUCGAGAUCGUGACCUGAGCCAAAGUCAGACGCUCAACCGACUGAGCCCCCCAGGUGCCCCUGAAAUAGAUAUUCUUAAUCACGCUAUGAAUGCACCCUUCUAUUCCUUUUUUGGUGUAUUGAUUAGGUAGAAAUGGUGGUUCGACUUUAAUCAAUUUCCCCCCCACAUAUAUUGGAAUCAAUUCGGUUGUACUUCUUUAACCCAUUAGCAUGACGCGGUUACUAUAUUAAGCUUUCCUGAUAUUGACAAUUGCCCCACUGGGUUAUGGUGGAUGACUUAAUACAUUAUUGAAUUUUAUUUCCGACAUAACAUUUCCAUCCUUUAAUAUGGUUUCUUUGCCAUGCUUAAUAUCAGGCUUAUUUUCCUUUGUAGAAUGAAUUGGAUCGUUCCAUCAAUCUUUUGCUAAGCCAUGGAAACUGCUUAAUGUUAUCAGUACCAUCAAAUUUAAAAUAAUUACCUAGCAAAAAACACUUGGGACCAGUGUCUUCUUUGGGUAAAGGGGGCAGUGCUUUGAUAACAAUCACAAAUUUUUUUCUCAUUUAGCAACAUAUAUAUUUUCAGAGAAGCCUCCAUUUAAUUGAGAUUUUCAAACUUAAGGCAAUUGUGCUUAUAUAUACAUAUCCGUAUUUUUAACUCUCUAUUGCAACGUUCCCUUUCUUAUUCCUCCUAUUUUUUUCUUUUCUUUCUUUCAUUUCUCAAGUCGAUUUGCCAGAGGUUAGUCUACUUUAUUGUUUGUUUAAAAACAGAAUCAGCUCUUGGAUAUAUUUGCUAAUUUCACUGUGUUUCUGUUUUCUAAUUCAUUUAUUUCUGGCUUUAUUCUCCGUUUCUCCCCGUUUUCCUUAGGGGCUGUUUUUUAUUCAUUUUUUUUUUUUUUUUCCUCUAAGAUCUCAGGCUAAUGCUUGGCUUAUUCCCUUUUUCUGUUUCCCUUCUUAAUAAUAAAAGCAUUUAGGUCUAUGAGACUAGCUGCAGCUGCCUCCCAGAGGUUUGGUUAUGUGGCAUUCUGGUUUUCGGUGCUUUCUAAAUAUUUGUCACUAUAUUCUUUAUUUUUUCCUCGACCAAAUAGCAGUUGAGGAGAGGGUUUUAAAUUGUUUUCAAGCGGUUGGGUUUUCAGUUUUAGUCCGUUUAAAUGCACAAUUAUUUUGGCUACGUUUACUGCCUGGUGAUCAAAGGACUCCCCAACUGGCACAAUUUCUGUUUUGGGUGGAACGUGAGUUCUUACAGUUGGUUCCUGGUGGCUGACAGAAAUGUCUGCAAAGCAUAUGCUCGCUUGCAAAGCCCAAGUGCGUUUUAAAAGUUCUUGCUUGCCAUAAUGUUAUGUCAAAUGAAAAAGAAAGAGGAUAUGAAGUUCAAUGUGUUUGUAACCAUGUUUAAAAUACAGUAUAUUUACAUAUGUGCACUGAAAAAGCCUGCGAGGAAAUACAUAAAGGUACUCAACAGUGUUGGUAAAAGUCUACUUGAGGAGAUUAGGGGCGAUUUUUACUCUCUUCACACUUUCCUGUAUUUCUUUUAAAAGCUUAUUUAUUUAUUUUGAGAGAGAGGGAGAGAGAGAGAGAGCGCAUGAGGGAGGGGCAGAAAGAGAGGAGAGAGAAUCCCAAGCAGGCUCCACACUGUCAGCACAGAGGCUGACGUGGGGCUCGAUCCCACGAACCUGGAGAUCAUGACCUGAGCCGAAACCAAGAGACACGGGGCUCGAUCCCACAACCUUGAGAUCAUGACCUGAGCUGAAAUCAGGAGCCAGAUGCUUAACCAGCUGAACCAUGCAGACGCCUCCACUUGUCUCUAUUUUUAAAAGUUUCUAUGUAAGUGUAAGAAUUACUAUUUUAAUAAGAUUUCUUUGAAUGCUUAUUUGCCUAAGGUUUGGGGACAGAAAUGCUCUGUGGCUGAAACUGAUUUUGCAAAGCUCCCCCCGGCCAGAGUGAAGGAGAU